rnacentral:lncRNA from 1 species
AUGAAAACUUAAGCUUUGUUGCUAAUGGGCCUCCUCUCUGUGUUCAUUAAAAUACUUACAUUUUUUAUUUUUUUAAUUUCCUCAAUACCUUUUUUUUUCUGCUGUGCAGCCUGGUGACCCAGUUACACAUACAUGUAUACAUUCUAUUUUCUCCCAUUAUCAUGCUCCAUUAUAAGUGACUAGACAUAGUUCCCAGUGCCACACAGCAGGAUCUCAUUGCUAAUCCAUUCCAGAGGCAAUAGUCUGCAUCUAUUAUCCCAAGCUCCUGGAUUAGGAAGAUGUAGUAUAUAUACACAAUGGAAUACUACUCAGCCAUAAAAAAGAACAAAAUAAUGCCAUUUGCAGCAACAUGGAUGGAACUAGAGACUCUCAUACUGAGUAUGCAUAUGUACCAUGUGUGUGUGGCACAUGUGUGUUUGUAUACUAUGUGGGUGUUGUAUGUCCAUAGGUACCAUGCAUACAUUGUACACGUGUGUCUGUACCAUGUACAUGUGUAUUAUACUUGCACAUGUAAAUUUAGCCAAGGAAGGGAAGGAACUGGCAGUGGUAAAUGUAAGACUUUGAAACUCAGGAAGGCAAAAUAAAUGGGAAGAUAAAGUGUGUUCAUGGAUCAGGAGAAUUAAUAUUGUGCAUAUGUGUGCACAUUUGUAUGUAUGCACAGAUACCAUAACCACUCUGCACAUAUGUGGCCUGUAUAUUAUAUAUGUGUUUAUGCAUGUACAUUGUAUGUAUAACAUAUACUACAUGCACACAUGUGUAUGUGUACAUUGUGUGCAUUUACACUGUAUAUAUGCUAUAAAAAUACACUAUAUGUGUAUAUGUGUGCAUUACAUAUAUUUCAUACAUGCACUAUAUGUAUAUAUAUACAUACAUUCUAUGCAUGUAUGAUGUGCAUAUACUCUGUAUGUACAUAGUGUAUACAUUAUGGUUAAUGUUAGUGCAUAUGUUCAUUGUGUGUAUGCAUGUAUACAUGCCAUAGAUGCUGUGUAUCCAUGCUGCAUUAUAUAUGUAUGAACACUGUGUGUAAACUACGUGUGUAUCCACUGUAAGGAUAUAUAUGGCUGUUUCUCUGUAUGUGUGGACACACUAUGCAUGUGCUGUAUAUGUGCAUACACUCUGUAUAUGUCUGCAUAAUAUGUAUAUAUGAACACUAAACUAUAUGUGUAUCCACCGUAAGGAUAUAUAUGGCUAUAUUAUGUGUGCACAUGUAACUAUCUUUGUAUGUGUGGACACUCUGUGCAUGUGCUGUAUAUGUGCGUACACUCUCUAUAUGUCUGCACAGUAUGUAGUGUCAGGAAUACAGCUCCAGCAGGGCUCCAGCGCAUGACCAUUUGGCUGGCUUGGGGAGAGUAAUGUGUGAAACACUCGUUCCGGAUCGCAUAGUAUACGAAAUUUGGCAAGUUAAUGGGCCUUUGCAAUGAUGUAGGGACCAAACACUUCACUGAUGGAUGUGUGUGUGUUCACUUAAUCAUCAUAACAGCCCUGUGAAGUAGGUUUUAUCUCCAGAUGAGGACUGAGAUUUACUGGUGACUUGUGUAAGGAAAGGAAACUUAAAAGUAAUGGUAGCAUCAUGUCAACUAUCUUUUCUUCAUUUACUUUCUUAUCACAACCUUUGUUAGCAUUUAACUAACAACCUGGAAGUUGCCACUCAUCAGGAAAUAGGAUCAUCUUCCAACUGUUUAUAUUUAUUCAAAGAGUAGUGACUGCUGUUUUCCUGUCACUGUGUAGCAAAAUGCCAUUAAUGUUGCCAGUGUGAGCAGUUCAAAAUAAACACAGUAUCACUCUUAAAAUUGAAAAUGAACAUAAGUUCAUUUUUUAGGUAUUGUUUGGAAGGAUAAGAAAAAAGACAUUUAAGAUGAAAGGAGGGUUUCUUUGCCAUUUCUUUGGGAAUUUCCUUUUGGUGGAUUAUUGCUAGAAUAUUCUUUUUUUUUUUUUUCUUCCCCUCAGGGUUCUGCUUUUGGUGAAACGAAAGUAGUUAAAGUCUUUGGGUUUUGUCUCAGCCAAGUUCAGCUUACUAAUUACUACAGUAAAUCACAUAAAAUUACAUACUAGUUAAUAUAAGUACCUGGAAGGCAGGAGUUGGUUUUAUACUUUUUGUAGCUACAGCACUAAUGGCUGCAAACUGUUCCUCUGGCCAUUCCUAGACAAACCUUCACAGGGUUAUGUGCCAAGCAUGGUAUUAGUUCCAGAGGAUACAAAAAUGAAUUCAAGCUUUAAUUUGUGAAGCUCUCACCACACUUGGAGAGCACGUUGACAACUGGUGUGACAAAGUGUAAAAAACAGGUGUUCAGACUGUUUUGGGCAUGUAGAAAAUGGAAUUGACUUGAUGUGAUAAAAUUUUCGAAUUUACUUUUGUGUUUAUUCUACUGAUAAUCCUGAUGCUUUCUUUUUAACCUUAAAGAUUGUUGUUAAUCACUGAUGAAUUGGUAAGCAACUCUGUGUGUGUUCUAAAUCUAGUGAUGCGUUCAUUAACUGGAGACCAUUCACCUCGAUGGGGACAGUAAUAUGUCAAAAGACGGCCCAGUUCCACGCCAUCGAAGGGUCGUUAAAUACCACCGGGUGCAUCCUUGCUGGGAUUUGCUCAGGUGGGAAAUGGCAGCAUUUCGUCUUUUGCUGAUAGGUGCACUCAGGGUGCGGGAGUGAGCAGUUCAAAUUUAGAUGUUUAAAAAAAAAAUAAAAAACAAAAAAA